GCGGAAGUAGUUUAGUUGGUUAGAAUUCCUGCGUUCCAAGCAGGGUGUCGUCGGUUCGAGUCCGAUCUUCCGCUCA
rnacentral:tRNA from 1 species